ACAGGUGAAAAUGCAACAAGGAUGCAACGGAAAGCGAUGAAACUUCACAGGGAGCCGGGAGACAGGUGAAAAUGCAACAAGGAUGCAACGGAAAGCGAUGAAACUUCACAGGGAGCCGGGAGACAGGUGAAAAUGCAACAAGGAUGCAACGGAAAGCGAUGAAACUUCACAGGGAGCCGGGAGACAGGUGAAAAUGCAACAAGGAUGCAACGGAAAGCGAUGAAACUUCACAGGGAGCCGGGAGACAGGUGAAAAUGCAACAAGGAUGCAACGGAAAGCGAUGAAACUUCACAGGGAGCCGGGAGACAGGUAAGUAAGCA